GGCACCAGCACCUGCCGCGCCGGGCGGAGGGGCUGCAGGUGCUCCCCCAGAGCCGUGCUUGUCGGAGGGUCUUCGCCCGGAUCUGUUCCGGCGUCCUAUUGAGAGCCCUUGUCUGCCCGUCUGUCUGAUUUUGUUUCGGUGGUUUGCGGUAUAUGGAAAGGGCGCAGAAACUCAUGGGUUUUUUUCGAGAACAGCCCUUGCAGCCUUUUUGCAUCGCCAUAAGGCCCCGCACCAGAAAAUGAUGGGUGUGAUGAAAUACAAGAAGUCAAGUACCGCCAACUGUGGUAGCUGAGCCCUGAUGUGGUAACGCCCUGCACUCUGAUUUUUCAAUUUACCAGACUCUGCUGGCAAGGAGGUGCACAAGAAGCUGGGAGGUGGCACGAUCAGGACAGCUGACCCCAAGUAGCCAAAUGGAUAUUUCAUACCAUAGAACAUCAUGCCCAGUAUGGAGACUGGAAGGAGUUGGCUGAGAGGAGGGGAUCAAUGCUCAGGCAUUGGUCAUCAGAGCCACUUAGAGGUGAUGUGGGACGAGGAGUAUUUGCAAGACAGUACUCAGAAACAAUCUGGAAGUGGCUUUAGGAAAGUAUUUGCCCUGGAAAGAAGAGACAAGUAUUCAGCCACCAUCUGGAAACAAACUGUAAUGAGGCACCUUCUCUAUUUAAAAAAAAAAAGUAAAAUUAGGACACAGGAGUGACAAUUGAACCCAACAAGUGAGAACUGUGCAUGAGAAAGGACUGCAGGAUGAGAUGUGGAGACAUUUGUCCAAUGUAGAGGAUUUUGACCUGUGACACUCAGACUUCUGAAGACUGCAAAAUCCUUCUAAAGAAUGAAAAAAAUAGGUAAUUAAGAAAAGCAAGAUGAUUAUUUGUCAGUGAGCUUGAAUUGUUCUAUGUGCUACUGAAAAAUGACUAAGCUUCCAAAAGUAGAGCAGAUUGAAAACCACAUCUCUAGCAUGCUAGCUGAUCCUUGUGGCAUCAUUUGAACUGAUACUCUCAUUGGUAUAGCUGUAUUCACUUACAAGGUCAUCUUUUGCCUGUGAAGCCCUUUUAUGAACUAGAAUACUUUGAGUUUAUUUCAGGUAGGACUGCUAGUUUCAAAUUAUUUUUUUUUUU